rnacentral:rRNA from 1 species
GACGAACGCUGGCGGCGCGCCUAACACAUGCAAGUCGAGCGAGAACCAGGGCUUGCCCCUGGGGACAGCGGCGAACGGGUGAGUAACACGUGGAUAACCUGCCCUCGGCACCGGAAUAGCCCGGGGAAACCCGGAUUAAUGCCGGAUGGCCCCACAUCCCUGCGGGGAACGUGGGAAAAGGUAGCUUCGGCCUCCGGCCGAGGAUGGGUCCGCGGUGGAUUAGCUUGUUGGCGGGGUAACGGCCCACCAAGGCGACGAUCCAUAGCUGGUCUGAGAGGACGAUCAGCCACACUGGGACUGAGACACGGCCCAGACUCCUACGGGAGGCAGCAGUGGGGAAUCUUGCGCAAUGGGCGAAAGCCUGACGCAGCGACGCCGCGUGCGGGACGAAGGCCUUAGGGUUGUAAACCGCUUUCAGGAGGGACGAAGCCACUCGGGUGAACAGCCCAGAGGGUGACGGUACCUCCAGAAGAAGCCCCGGCUAACUACGUG